AGAUGGAGUGGUAACGGCACCCCAUGGCUACGAUAGAUAGGGGCCCUGAGAGGGGGAUCCCCCACACUGGUACUGAGACACGGUCCAGACUCCUACGGGGGGCAGCAGCUAAGAAUCUUCCGCAAUGGACGAAAGUCUGACGGAGCGACGCCGCGUGAACGAUGAAGGCCGUGAGGUUGUAAAGUUCUUUUCGAGAGGAGGAAUAAGGUUUGCAGGGAAUGGCAGACUGAUGACGUUAAUCUCGGAAUAAGCCCCGGCUAACUACGUGCCAGCAGCCGCGGUAACACGUAGGGGGCAAGCGUUGUUCGGAAUUAUUGGGCGUAAAGGGCGUGCAGGCGGCCUUGCAAGUCUGACGUGAAAGAUCUCGGCUUAACCGAGGGAACGCGUUGGAAACUGUAAGGCUUGAGUACGGAAGGGGAUAUUGGAAUUCCAGGUGUAGGGGUGAAAUCUGUAGAUAUCUGGAAGAACACCGGUGGCGAAGGCGAAUAUCUGGUCAUGUACUGACGCUGAGACGCGAAGGUGCGGGGAGCAAACAGGUUUAGAUACCCUGGUAGUCCGCACAGUAAACGAUGUACACUAGGUGUCAGGUCUUAAGACUUGGUACCGAAGCUAACGCAUUAAGUGUACCGCCUGGGGAGUAUGCUCGCAAGAGUGAAACUUAAAGGAAUUGACGG
rnacentral:rRNA from 1 species